CCUACGGGAGGCAGCAGUGAGGAAUAUUGGUCAAUGGCCGGAAGGCUGAACCAGCCAAGCCGCGUGAGGGAGGAAGGCGCAGAGCGUCGCAGACCUCUUUUGCCGGGGGACAAAAGGCCGGACUCGUCCGGUCCUGAGGGUACCCGGAGAAAAAGCAUCGGCUAACUCCGUGCCAGCAGCCGCGGUAAUACGGGGGAUGCGAGCGUUAUCCGGAUUCAUUGGGUUUAAAGGGUGCGCGGGCGGGCCUUUAAGCCGGCGGUGAAAUCGCGGGGCUCAACCCCGCCGAGCAGUCGGAACUGGGGGCCUUGAGUGCGGCGGAGGCAUGCGGAAUGCGAGGUGUAGCGGUGAAAUGCAUAGAGAUCGCGCAGAACCCCGAUGGCGAAGGCAGUGUGCCGUGC
rnacentral:rRNA from 1 species